UACGUAGGGGGCAAGCGUUGUCCGGAAUCCUUGGGCGUAAAGAGCGUGUAGGCGGCCCGAUAAGUCCGCUGUGAAAGUCCAGGGCUCAACACUGGAAUGCCGGUGGAUACUGUCGGGCUCGAAUCCGGAAGAGGUGAGUGGAAUUCCUGGUGUAGCGGUGAAAUGCGCAGAUAUCAGGAGGAACACCAAUGGCGAAAGCGAGCUACUGGACAAUAUCUGACGCUGAGGCUCGAAGGCCAGGGUAGCGAAAGGG
rnacentral:rRNA from 1 species